rnacentral:lncRNA from 1 species
AGCACCUAGAAAAUGGUAACAUUCUCAACCAAUAACUCUAUUUCUGCUUCCACUGUUGCAGCUUUUUGUGCAAAACUUUUCAUUCUCAGAUUCUGUGUUCUAACACAUGAGUGUGUGGGUAAUUUAUUGUUAUCUUAUCACAAAAUGAUGAAGAGGACUAGUGUUAUCUAGUUUUAAUCCAGUUUUACACAGAUUUAAGGUGAUUUUUCUUUCUAAUUUCUCUUUCCUCCGACCUGUAAUUACUUCUGUUUGAGUUGACCGAGACUUGCAUGAAUAUGCAGAUCGAUCGAUACAUUUAAUUCAUUAAAAGGUGAAUAAAGUUAAACCACUAUUAAGAAAUAGAUACACUCCACUAAUCUGGUCUAAUAAGAUAAGUUCAUUAAAAUAAUAUAAAUAGUACACAUUUUAAGAAGAAAAGUACGUCAGUAUCACUGUACAUCUCGAGUGCCGAAUAUUCUUUUUGCUGACUUGAGCGUCAGAGUGCCUUAUGUAUGUAACCUCCCAUCCGGCACCUACAUGAGACUGAGAGACCGAGGCCCGAGGGAGUAACAUCGAGGCGAGAAGGAUCACAACAAAACUCCAACAAUCUGCGUGAAAGAAGAAAGAAGACGAAGCCCUUUAAUAAUUUUCUAGGUCUGAACUCCUUAUCACAAACAUCUUUAAAUCUUUUUUGGAUUAUAAUAAGAAUUCGUAAAAUAAUUAACUUACACUUUAAUUACUAUAUACCAUAAAUUGUUGCUGUUUUUUCAUUUUUUUUUAUCUCAGUUAUCAAUGUCGGAGUCAAUCUUCUUUUAUUUAUUAUGUUUUUCAUGAAUGGA